AUUGAACGCUGGCGGCAGGCCUAACACAUGCAAGUCGAGCGAGCGGCGGACGGGUGAGUAAUGUAUGGGGACUGCCCGAUAGAGGGGGAUAACUACUGGAAACGGUGGCUAAUACCGCAUACUAUCGGAUAACCCAUAUGGGAUUAGCUAGUAGGUGGGGUAAAGGCUCACCUAGGCGACGAUCUCUAGCUGGUUUGAGAGGACGACCAGCCACACUGGGACUGAGACAGGGACCAGACUCCUACGGAGGCAGCAGUGGGGAAUUUUGGACAAUGGGGGAAACCCUGAUCCAGCCAUCCCGCGUGUGCGAUGAAGGCCUUCGGGUUGUAAAGCACUUUUGGCAGGAAAGCGUUACCCGCAGAAGAAGCACCGGCUAACUCCGUGCCAGCAGCCGCGGUAAUUC
rnacentral:rRNA from 1 species